UGGGCAACCUGCCCUCAGCUCUGGGAUAACUCCGGGAAACCGGGGCUAAUACCGGAUACGAGACCGAUUGGCAUCUUUACGGUCUGGAAAGUUUUUCGGCCAGGGAUGGGCUCGCGGCCCAUCAGCUUGUUGGUGGGUAACGGCCCACCAAGGCGACGACGGGUAGCCGGCCUGAGAGGGCGACCGGCCACACUGGGACUGAGACACGGCCCAGACUCCUACGGGAGGCA
rnacentral:rRNA from 1 species